GAUUAACGCUGGCGGCGUGCUUAACACAUGCAAGUCGAACGGUAAGGCCCUUCGGGGUACACGAGUGGCGAACGGGUGAGUAACACGUGGGUGAUCUGCCCUGCACUUCGGGAUAAGCCUGGGAAACUGGGUCUAAUACCGGAUAGGACCACUGCCUGCAUGGGUGGUGGUGGAAAGCUUUUGCGGUGCGGGAUGGGCCCGCGGCCUAUCAGCUUGUUGGUGGGGUGAUGGCCUUCCAAGGCGACGACGGGUAGCCGGCCUGAGAGGGUGACCGGCCACACUGGGACUGCGAUACGGCCCAGACUCCUACGGGAGGCAGCAGUGGGGAAUAUUGCACAAUGGGCGCAAGCCUGAUGCAGCGACGCCGCGUGAGGGAUGACGGCCUUCGGGUUGUAAACCUCUUUCAGCACCGACGAAGCGCAAGUGACGGUAGGUGCAGAAGAAGGACCGGCCAACUACGUGCCAGCCGCCGCAGUAA
rnacentral:rRNA from 1 species